GUGACCGUAGCUCAGUUGGCAGAGCAUCUCGCUGUGGCCGAGAGGGUCAAGGGUUCAAGCCCCUUCGGUCACC
rnacentral:tRNA from 1 species